GUUUUGUAAGAUGCAGCAACUGCUGUAAUGAUAGCUAGAGCAAACACAAGCCAGAUAAGCUAAACAACAGAUUACUUGUUGCCCACGUUAACGACUAGAAGAGCAGGAGAGUUAGUGUAAGAAAAUCAGUGUGAAGGAAAGUAAUACACUCUUUCAUUACAUUUUUUUUCCCCUAGGAGACAAUGAAGAACUUCAUGUCCAAGAAUUAUUACCUGAAUACGUCUUGGUUAUAAUAAAUGGCAAAGAUUCUUGGUUCUCACUUCAGCAAUUUAUAUACCAGUUAGCAUUACUGCAGCAGAUCUAACAAAUAAAUUGUGCCAUUCACAAACAGAUCACAUCACACUGAGUGCUGGAGCUUCUCUUGCAUGGGCAAAUUCUUGCAUGCCUGCAGAUGAGAUGGAGAGGAGCAUGAAGCUAACAGGAUUACAAGGAUCAGCAGAUACAGCAUUGCCUCUCCAGCCUUCCAAAGGCAUUCUCCAGCUUCAGAGAGUCACAAGGCUAGUAUCAAAGGAACAGGAUUAAAACAACGAUCUCGUUAAGUUCCCAAAUGGCAGGGUAACAUUAUGGCCAGCAACUCUGGCAGUAGGAACUGAGAGAGAAGGAAGAGAAGAAUAGGGAAACUGUUCAUCACAGGUCUGUGGAUAAAUUAUUUCAAAGUUAAGGUAAGGUGCAGUCUCUUUUUUCUGGUGAGGUUAUUGGUUUCACAGGACUUUUCUAUGUAAGUCUUUAUGGUGUCCAGACUGUUCAUCCUUCUCUAUCACCAGAACAUCUAGAGCAGUACUCCAGAGAAUCAGC
rnacentral:lncRNA from 1 species